ensembl:lincRNA
GAGGUCGGGAAUGAGUCGCCGGUCUGAAGACCCCAAAAGUUUGUGCUCAUUUUUUUUGCAACAGUAUGACUAGUCUAAAGUGAGUCUCUCAGGAAUUAAAAUGAUUUUUUUUUCUUUUAAUUUUAAGCCUGCUUCCCAGAAAACUGCCUCAUGUGGAAUCAAGGUCAGAGCCUCGAUGGAGGGUAUAUAAGGGAUGGAAGCCACUGCUUUCGAAAAGCUCCCCAGUUACUUGACACUUCUUCACCUUCAUUAGCCAGUCUUCAGGAUGAUUUUAUAGUUGCUGACAAUAACAGAAGAUCGUCUCAGAGAAAUUGUGUGGAGAAUAAAAAGAAUUCCUCUUCAGGUCUGGAGGUUGAGUAGGGAGAUGAAUAAAGUUGCGUGUGUGUAUUCCAUGAUUUAUACAUUUGAAUAUAAUUACAGAAUAAAGGAAAAAGUACACAAAGUGCCAUGAAAGAUGUAAAACUUUAUUAUUAGUAAGUCAAACAAAUGAAUUUAUACGCUGAAUAACCUAAAAAGUUUGAACACUCUCUCUAUAUAUUUUGUCUUAUAUUCAAAAUUUUAUUUCAAAUACAAAUUCAAAUGGAAACUUAGCACACUCUUUCUAUGCCAUCAAAGACAGAGGUCAGCAUUCCAAUGUCCUGCUGAGUGAUAAGGUGAGCACCAGAAUCCACUAUUCUAAAGGUUGGCUUCAGUGUUUGUCUCUGAAGGCUGUGCAGCUCUCUGCCUAAUAUCCACUCAUAUUUCACUGUUUGAUCUUGAGAGAGCUGGGCUAGUAAGGAAUUAUUCAGUACAACUUCCUUAAAAACUGUGUAUUUAGCAAAGACCACAGUUUCCACAGACAAAAAUAUUGGAACACUUUCCAUUUUAGGAAUGAACUCAAUGAAUUAUUUUGGAAAGCGCUCACUAUUCCUUAUACAAAAUCCCCUCUGGACACUUUUCACAUUUUUCACUAAACUAGCCAACCAGGUAGGGUUCCCCAGGUAAAUUUGAUCACUAGGCCUUCCUGAAAAAAUAGAAUAUAUGUACAGUCAUCAUUCCUAAUUGUCUUUUCAAAGAUAUUUUACUUGUCCUUGUAUUGUCAGAAUCUAAUAAAAAAUGGGGACCUGUAAGACAUUUUCCUGGA